GAAAUGCGAUACGUAAUAUGAAUUGCAGAUAUUCGUGAAUCAUCGAAUCUUUGAACGCACAUUGCGCCCUCUGUAUCCGAGGGCAUGCCUGUUUGAGCGUCGUUUCUCCCUCAAACCGCUGGGUUUGGUGUUGAGCAAUACGACUUGGGUUUGCUUGAAAGACGGUAGUGGUAAGGCGGGAUCGCUUUGACAAUGGCUUAGGUCUAACCAAAAACAUUGCUUGCGGCGGUAACGUCCACCACGUAUAUCUUCAAACUUUGACCUCAAAUCAGGUAGGACUACCCGCUGAACUUAAGCAUAUCAAUAAGCGGAGGAAAAGAAACCAACAGGGAUUGCCUCAGUAGCGGCGAGUGAAGCGGCAAAAGCUCAAAUUUGAAAUCUGGCGUCUUUGGCGUCCGAGUUGUAAUUUGAAGAAGGUAUCUUUGGGCCCGGCUCUUGUCUAUGUUCCUUGGAACAGGACGUCACAGAGGGUGAGAAUCCCGUGCGAUGAGAUGACCCGGGUCUGUGUAAAGUUCCUUCGACGAGUCGAGUUGUUUGGGAAUGCAGCUCUAAGUGGGUGGUAAAUUCCAUCUAAAGCUAAAUAUUGGCGAGAGACCGAUAGCGAACAAGUACAGUGAUGGAAAGAUGAAAAGAACUUUGAAAAGAGAGUGAAAAAGUACGUGAAAUUGUUGAAAGGGAAGGGCUUGAGAUCAGACUUGGUAUUUUGCAUGCUGCUCUCUCGGGGGCGGCCGCUGCGGUUUACCGGGCCAGCAUCGGUUUGGAGCGGCAGGAUAAUGGCGGAGGAAUGUGGCACGGCUUCUGCUGUGUGUUAUAGCCUCUGACGAUACUGCCAGCCUAGACCGAGGACUGCGGUUUUUAACCUAGGAUGUUGGCAUAAUGAUCUUAAGUCGCCCGUCUUGAAACACGGACCAAGGAGUCUAACGUCUAUGCGAGUGUUUGGGUGUAAAACCCGUACGCGUAAUGAAAGUGAACGAAGGUGGGGGCCCAUUAGGGUGCACCAUCGACCGAUCCUGAUGUGUUCGGAUGGAUUUGAGUAAGAGCAUAGCUGUUGGGACCCGAAAGAUGGUGAACUAUGCCUGAAUAGGGUGAAGCCAGAGGAAACUCUGGUGGAGGCUCGUAGCGGUUCUGACGUGCAAAUCGAUCGUCGAAUUUGGGUAUAGGGCGAAAGACUAAUC
rnacentral:rRNA from 1 species